GUGAAGUCCAACAGCAUGGUGCCAGCAUCUGCCCAGGUGUCCUGUGAGGGCAUUCUUGUGGCAUCAUUGCAUGGUGGAAGGUGGAAAGGCAAAAGCAAGACAUGAGACAGAGAGAGCAAGAGGGCACUGCUUUUGUUACAAGCCCACUCUCACAGUCACUAACCCAAGCCCGUGAUUGAAUCAUUCAUGAGAGUUUGGCUCUCAUGACCUAAUCACCUCUUAAAGACCACAAUUGUCAAUCCUGUUGUAUUGGGGAUUACGUUUUCAACACAUUAACUUCUAGGAAACCUAAAAGAUGAAACCACGGCAAUCAUCCUAUAUAGUCCUUUAAAUAUGCUGCCAAAUUCUAUUUACCAGUGUUUUGUUGAGAUUGUUUUUGCUUCUCUUCAUAAGGCUCCUUUCCCUUAAAUUUCUCCUUAUUAUUCUCCAUAAAAAUAAUACAUAUUUUAUCUUUUGUACCUCAUCAAUAGUCUUAUAAUUAUUACUUUAUCUAAUUGUUUUCAAAUCAAAUAAGAGAGAUAAUGUCAUUAACAAAAUAAUACACUUAUAUUGUCUUUUAUACUUAACUAUGCAAUUCCUUUCAUCAGUGCCCUUUGUUUCUUGAUGCAGUUUUGAGUUACUGUCUAGGGUCAUUUUAUUUCUGCCUUAAGAGCUGCCUUUACUAUUACUUGCAAGACGAAUAAAAUGACUAAUUAUUUCCAUUUUGUUUUUUUUUUUUUGUUUUUGCUUUUAUCUUGCAAUGUGUUUUCUCCUUCAUUUGUGAAGACGUGGUGUGCACAGAGAAUUAUCGGUUAAUGGCCUCAUUCUGCCCUUUGAAUCCAUCAUCCUAUUGAGCUCUGGACACCAUCGUUUCUGAAGAUAAAUAAACUGUAACCUCAUUGAAGCUUCCUCAUAUGCACAGAGGCUGCACGGAGUAUCAUACCAUUUAUAUGAGACCAAAGGUGCAAGAACCAAACAGUAUAAUGUGUAAGGAUGUGUUCCAUGAUAAAGCUAAAGAAUACCAAAAAGAAGCAAAAAAUCCAAGAUAGCGCUAUCUUCUCCAGCUAGGACAAGAGAACAGGAUUUGAAAAGGGGCAUGUGGAUGGCUUAGUGGUAACACAAAUAUUUUAUUUCU
rnacentral:lncRNA from 1 species